rnacentral:rRNA from 1 species
AGAAUCAAUUUAAUUUGAAUUAAAAUAUUUAUUGUAUAUUUAAUAUUUAUUUAAAUUUUUAAUAAAAAUAUUUAUUUUUUUUUAUAGUUAUAGAUAAAAUUUUAUUUAUUAUAGUUUAUUAGUAUAGUAAUAGAAUAUUUAAAUAAUUUGAAAUAUUAAAAUAUUUAAAAGAAAAUUUUAAUUAUUGUACCUUGUGUAUCAGGGUUUAUUUAAUAGUAAUUAUUUAUUUUAAUUUUCUCGAAUUUAAAAGAGUUAAAAAUUUAUAUAUUUUAUUGUAAAAUAAAUAUUUAAAAUAAAUUUUUAGUAAUGAAAUGUUAUUCGUUUUUAAAUUUAUCUAGUUUUUUAAGAAAUAAAUUUAAUUUAUUUAUUUAUUGUUUAAUUAAAAUAAUUUUUUAUUUUAAUUUAUAUAAAUAGUUAAUAUUUUAGGGGAUAAGCUUUAGAAUAAAUUAAUGAAAAAUUAUUUAUAGGUAAAAAAAUUAUAGAAGUGGAAGUAUUUAUUUAUUAUAGUGUUUUAUAACAAAUUUUUUAGUAUUUAUAAUUUAUAUAGAAUUUUCAUUAUUUUAUUAAAAUUAUUAAUUUAAUAAAGAAAUUAAUGUAAUAAUGAUAAAAUUAGUAUAACUAAAUGUUAGUAAAUUUUAUGAGUAAAGGUUAAAUUAAGGAAUUCGGCAAUUUUUUUUUCCGCCUGUUUAUUAAAAACAUGUCUUUUUGAUUAUAAUUUAAAGUCUGACCUGCCCUAUGAAUUUGUUAAAUGGCCGCGAUAUUUUGAUCGUGCAAAGGUAGCAUAAUCAUUAGUUUCUUAAUUAGGAACUGGAAUGAAAGGUCGAACGAGAAAAGUACUGUCUCAAUUUAAUUUAAUUAGAAUUUUAUAUUUAAGUAAAAAAGCUUAAAUGAUUUUAAAAGACGAGAAGACCCUAUAGAGUUUUAUAUUUAUUUAUUUUUGAUGGAGGUUUAGAAUUUAAUUUUAUUAUUACUAAAUAAAUAUUUGGUUGGGGUGAUUAUAAAAUUAAUAAAACUUUUAUUUUUUUUUUUCAUUGAUAUAUGAUUUUUUGAUCCAUUUUUUAUGAUUAAAAGAUUAAAUUACCUUAGGGAUAACAGCGUUAUUUUUUUUAAGAGUUCUUAUCGAUAAAAAAGUUUGCGACCUCGAUGUUGGAUUAAAAUUUACUAUUGGUGUAGGUGCUAAUUGGUUAGGUCUGUUCGACCUUUAAAAUUUUACAUGAUCUGAGUUUAAACCGGUGUAAGCCAGGUUGGUUUCUAUCUUUAAAUAGUUUAAAUAUUUUAGUACGAAAGGAUUAAAUAUUAUUAAUAAUUAAUAUUUAAUUGAUUAUUAUUAAUUUUAUUACUUUGGCAGAAUAGUGUUUUAAAUUUAGAAUUU